AAUCAACGCUGGCGGCGCGCUUAACACAUGCAAGUCGCACGAGAAAGGGAGCAAUCCUAAGUAAAGUGGCGCACGGGUGAGUAACACGUGGAUCAUCUACCUCUUGGUGGGGAAUACCCCGGGAAACUGGGGACAAUACCGCAUAAGCCUGCGAAGGGAAAGCAGCAAUGCGCCGAGAGAGGAGUCCGCGGCCGAUUAGCUAGAUGGCGGGGUAACGGCCCACCAUGGCGAAGAUCGGUAGCCGGCCUGAGAGGGCACACGGCCACACUG
rnacentral:rRNA from 1 species